rnacentral:rRNA from 1 species
GACGAACGCUGGCGGCGUGCUUAACACAUGCAAGUCGAACGGAAAGGCCCUGCUUUUGUGGGUUUCUCGAUUGGCGAACGGGUGAGUAACACGUGAGUAACCUCCCCUUAUCUUUGUGAUAACUUCUGGAAACUCGGGCGAUAACCGGGGAUAAUCUCUUGCUGCAUGUUGGUGGUUGGAAAGUUUCGGCGGUUGUGGAUGGACUGGAGGGUUAUCAGCUGGUUUGGGGGGUAGUCGCGGACGAGGGCUUUGACGGGUAGCCGGCAUGAGAGGGUGACCGGCCACAUUGGGACUGAGAUACGGACCAGACUCCUACGGGCGGCAGUAGUGGGGAAUAUUGCAGAACGGGCGGAAGCCUGAUACAGAAACGCUGGGUGCGGGAUGCUGGCUUUCGGGUUAUAAACAGAUUUCGACUGUGACGAAGAGUGCGUGACGGUAAUGGGUAAAGAAGCACCGGCUAACUACGUG